rnacentral:rRNA from 1 species
CGCUGGCGGCAUGCCUUACACAUGCAAGUCGAACGGUAACAGGUCUUCGGACGCUGACGAGUGGCGAACGGGUGAGUAAUACAUCGGAACGUGCCCAGUCGUGGGGGAUAACUACUCGAAAGAGUAGCUAAUACCGCAUACGAUCUGAGGAUGAAAGCGGGGGACCUUCGGGCCUCGCGCGAUUGGAGCGGCCGAUGGCAGAUUAGGUAGUUGGUGGGAUAAAAGCUUACCAAGCCGACGAUCUGUAGCUGGUCUGAGAGGACGACCAGCCACACUGGGACUGAGACACGGCCCAGACUCCUACGGGAGGCAGCAGUGGGGAAUUUUGGACAAUGGGCGAAAGCCUGAUCCAGCAAUGCCGCGUGCAGGAUGAAGGCCUUCGGGUUGUAAACUGCUUUUGUACGGAACGAAAAAGCUUCUCCUAAUACGAGAGGCCCAUGACGGUACCGUAAGAAUAAGCACCGGCUAACUACGUGCCAGCAGCCGCGGUAAUACGUAGGGUGCGAGCGUUAAUCGGAAUUACUGGGCGUAAAGCGUGCGCAGGCGGUUAUGUAAGACAGAUGUGAAAUCCCCGGGCUCAACCUGGGAACUGCAUUUGUGACUGCAUGGCUAGAGUACGGUAGAGGGGGAUGGAAUUCCGCGUGUAGCAGUGAAAUGCGUAGAUAUGCGGAGGAACACCGAUGGCGAAGGCAAUCCCCUGGACCUGUACUGACGCUCAUGCACGAAAGCGUG